rnacentral:rRNA from 1 species
UACGAAGGGGCUAGCGUUGUUCGGAAUUACUGGCGUAAAGCGCGCGCAGGCGGCUAUCCAAGUCAGUGGUGAAAGCCCGGAGCUCGAACUCCGGAACUGCUAUUGAAACUGUUAGCUUGAGGAUGAGAGAGGUGAGUGGAAUUCCAGUGUAGAGGUGAAAUUCGUAGAUAUUGGGAAGAACACCGGUGGCGAAGGCGGCUCACUGGCUCGAUUACUGACGCUCAGGCGCGAUAGCGUGGGGAUCAAGCAGG